UACGUAGGGUGCGAGCGUUGUCCGGAAUUAUUGGGCGUAAAGAGCUCGUAGGCGGUUUGUCACGUCUGCUGUGAAAACUGGAGGCUCAACCUCCAGCCUGCAGUGGGUACGGGCAGACUAGAGUUCGGUAGGGGAGUCUGGAAUUCCGUGGUGUAGCGGUGAAAUGCGCAGAUAAUCGAGGAGGAACACCGGUGGCGAAGGGCGG
rnacentral:rRNA from 1 species